rnacentral:rRNA from 1 species
CAGUCGAGGGGCAGCAUCAUCAAAGCUUGCUUUGAUGGAUGGCGACCGGCGCACGGGUGAGUAACACGUAUCCAACCUGUCGACAACACUGGGAUAGCCUUUCGAAAGAAAGAUUAAUACCGGAUGGCAUAGUUUUCCCGCAUGGGAUAAUUAUUAAAGAAUUUCGGUUGUCGAUGGGGAUGCGUUCCAUUAGGCAGUUGGCGGGGUAACGGCCCACCAAACCGACGAUGGAUAGGGGUUCUGAGAGGAAGGUCCCCCACAUUGGAACUGAGACACGGUCCAAACUCCUACGGGAGGCAGCAGUGAGGAAUAUUGGUCAAUGGACGAGAGUCUGAACCAGCCAAGUAGCGUGAAGGAUGACUGCCCUAUGGGUUGUAAACUUCUUUUAUACGGGAAUAAAGUUAGCCACGUGUGGCUUUUUGUAUGUACCGUAUGAAUAAGGAUCGGCUAACUCCGUGCCAGCAGCCGCGGUAAUACGGAGGAUCCGAGCGUUAUCCGGAUUUAUUGGGUUUAAAGGGAGCGUAGGCGGGUUGUUAAGUCAGUUGUGAAAGUUUGCGGCUCAACCGUAAAAUUGCAGUUGAUACUGGCGACCUUGAGUGCAACAGAGGUAGGCGGAAUUCGUGGUGUAGCGGUGAAAUGCUUAGAUAUCACGAAGAACUCCGAUUGCGAAGGCAGCUUACUGGAUUGUAACUGACGCUGAUGCUCGAAAGUGUGGGUAUCAAACAGGAUUAGAUACCCUGGUAGUCCACACAGUAAACGAUGAAUACUCGCUGUUGGCGAUAUACAGUCAGCGGCCAAGCGAAAGCAUUA